UCAUAGGACACCAGUCACGUUGGAUUAGGGGUACUACUCCAGCAAGACCUCAUCUUAAGCAACAUCUUGAUACAUCAGGAAAGAUUCUCUUUCCAAAGAAGAGCACAUUCCCAGGAACCGGAGUGGGCAUGGAGGAAACAACCCGGACCUGCUUACCACUGAGCAUUUCCACUGAAAUGGGACAAAUUGCCUCAGAUGACUUCAACAGAAUAUCUUACCUUAUUUAGCAGAGCAAGAAAGAUAUGUGCAGCUGGGUUCCUUCCUGCAGAGCCCGAGUGGGAGAACAAAGAAGAAAAGUAGGUGGUGGCAGCCAAGAAGGAGAGCAGUAGAAAACCUCUGAGGCCACCAGAAAAAGAGAAACAAGGGGGAGUCCUUCACUAAGAAGAAAUUAUACCCAGAUAGUACCCAUAGGUAAAUUAAAUGAUCCCACAGCCAGCCACACAGAGACAGCCACAAAAGAGGGCCUUUAAGAACCACCAGAGGAAGCUCUAGAGACAACAAUGAUCAGGGCUUGUGAAAAAUGCUGGGGUCAACCCAGAGGGCUUUAUUGAUCCAUCAGAGCCAGGAAACAAGGAAGAAGACUCCUGGGCUCGAGGGAGAGGAUAGUGUAAACACCUGUGGGAAAGAACACAGACCUGCCCAGAACCGCUCAGUAACUCCUUUGUUUCUCUAUCUGGGGAAUGAUCUUCCUACUGGGAAGUGUAUAAGAAAAAGAAGCUUAGAGAGUUGUGGAACCCAGAGGGCCAGGAGCCCUGCAGCUUUAACCUCCUGAUAAACGCUGAGAUAGUAAAGCGGACAGACCUGCAAGCUUAGAUGAGCCAGACUCCAGGGAGGGGAACGUGGGCAAAGAGAGAAACGAAAGAUCCCAAAAGGCUCUGAUGUAAUUUUUUAAGAAAACGAGAGAAAGGUGGCAUCCGGGAAGCAUAGACAAGUUAGUGUUUAUUCCUGGCUGAAGAUUAGAAUCUGUCAUGAAGCAGUCAACUUCUCAGCCAUAGGCAUGAGCUGUGAGAAUAGGCCAUGCCAAAGUAACCACACUUUCUGCUUUUGUGGGACUGUCACUAGAUUCACAGAUAGGGGGGAGUUCACAGAGAUCAUGCACAUGGAUGUUGGCCAAGAUGCUCACAGUCCAUGUAAAUGAGAUGGAAAACAUGAAUUUGAUAGGACCACAUUACAGCCAUGGGCUGGAUGACCCCUGACCUGGGGUGCAGGCCAGUUGACAACAAAGGCCCCUCCUAGUUCCAUAACAGGAACACUGAGUUGAUGGCAGUUUUGAGCAAGAAGCUGUUAACUGACUGAAUUUCUAUUAGUGUACUUGGCUCUGGGCAUGCAAAGAUGUGUUGUUUCCCCAAGUGAACCUGUUCCUCAGAGGUGAACCCCCGCAAUUCCACCAAAAGGCCUCUCAAAAACUUGGACAUGACAGCAGCAUUAUUCUUAACAGCCAAAAAAAGGAAAUAACUCAAAUAUCUAUAACUGAAGAGAUAAAUAAAACGUGUAUAGCUACCUUUAAGAUCUGUGCAUUUCUCCAAAUAUAAAUAUCACCUAAUGAAAGAACAAAAACAGAGAAUGUGGCAUAUCCACACAAUGGAAUAUGAUUUGGCAUAAAAGGGAAUUAAAUGCUGGUACACCCUACAACACUGAUGAACCUUUAUUACAUUAUGCUAACUGGGAGGAGACAGUCACAAAAGACUACACAUUGUGUGAUUUUGUUUUCAUUUCUUUGUAUGAAAGGCUUUGAACAGAUAAAGUUACAGAGCCCAGAAAGAUGAGUGAUUGUAGAUGAAUGCAUAAAGAAAAUGUGGUAAAUACAUACAAUGGAGUUUUAUUCAGCUAUUAAGAAAGAUGAAAUAGUGUCAUUUGAAGGAAUAAUGGAUGGAAGUUGAGACCUUUAUGUUAAGGGAAAUAAGCCAAACCCAGAAGGUCAAGGGUCAUAUGUUUUCUCUCACAUAUGGAGGCUAGAGAGAAAAAAGCAAAAGUAAAGUUGGGGGUGAUCACAUGAAAAGCAAAGGGAGAGUGGAACAGAGGAAAGU